rnacentral:rRNA from 1 species
AUUGAACGCUGGCGGCAGGCCUAACACAUGCAAGUCGAACGAGUGGCGGACGGGUGAGUAAUGUCUGGGAAACUGCCUGAUGGAGGGGGAUAACUACUGGAAACGGUAGCUAAUACCGCAUACCAUCGGAUGUGCCCAGAUGGGAUUAGCUUGUGGGUGGGGUAACGGCUCACCUAGGCGACGAUCCCUAGCUGGUUUGAGAGGAUGACCAGCCAAACGGGAACUGAGACACGGUCCAGACUCCUACGGGAGGCAGCAGGUGGGAAUAUUGCACAAUGGGCGCAAGCCUGAUGCAGCCAUGCCGCGUGUAUGAAGAAGGCCUUCGGGUUGUAAAGUACUUUCAGCGUGGAGGCGUUACCCGCAGAAGAAGCACCGGCUAACUCCGUGCCAGCAGCCGCGGUAAUUC